rnacentral:rRNA from 1 species
GCAGCCUACCAUGCAAGUCGAACGGUAGCACAGAGGAAGCUUUGCUCCUUGUGGUCGACGAGUGGCGGGACGGGUGAGUAGUGUCUGGGAAACUGCCCGAUGGAGGGGGAUAACUACUGGAAACGGUAGCUAAUACCGCAUAACGUCGCAAGACCAAAGUGGGGGACCUUCGGGCCUCACACCAUCGGAUGUGCCCAGAUGGGAUUAGCUAGUAUGUGGGGUAAUGGCUCACCUAGGCGACGAUCCCUAUCUGGUCUGAGAGGAUGACCAGCCACACUGGAACUGAGACACGGCCCACACUCCUACGGGAGGCAGCAGUGGGGAAUAUUGCACAAUGGGCGCAAGCCUGAUGCACCCAUGCCGCGUGUAUGAAGAAGGCCUUCGGGUUGUAAAGUACUUUCAGCGGAGAGGAACGCGGAGAGGUUAAUAACCUUACCGAUUGACGUUACCCGCAGAAGAAGCACCGGCUAACUCCGUGCCAGCAGCCGCGGUAAUACAGAGGGUGCAAGCGUUAAUCAGAAUUACUGGGCGUAGAGCGCACGCAGGCGGUCUGUCAAGUCAGAUGUGAAAUCCCCGGGCUUAACCUGAGAACUGCAUUCGAAACUGGCAGGCUAGAGUCUUGUAGAGGGGGGUAAAAUUCCGGGUGUAGCGGAGAAAUGCAUAGAGAUCUGGAGGAAUACCGGUGGCGAACGCGGCCCUCUGGACACACACUGACUCUCAUGUGCGAGAGCGUGGAGAGCACACGGGAUUAUAUACUCUGGUAGUCCACGCCGUACACUAUGUCCACUUGGAGGGUGCUCUCUUGAAGAGUGGCUUCCAGAGCUAACGCGAUAAGUCCACCGCCUGGAGAGUACCGCCGCAAGGUUAACACUCAUAUGAAUUCGACGGGGGCCCGCACAAGCGGUGGAGCAUGUGGUAUNUUUCUAUGCAACGCGAAGAACCUUCCCUACUCUUCGACAUCCAGAGAACUUAGCAGAGAUGCUUGGGGCGCCUUCGGGAACUCUGAAACAGGUGCUGCAUGGCUGUCCUCACCUCGUGUUGAGAAAUGGUGGGGUUAAAUCCCCCAAAAGAACCGCAACCCUUAUCCUUUUGUUGCCAACCGGUUUAUUGCCGGAAACUUAAAAAGAAUACUC